rnacentral:rRNA from 1 species
GACGAACGCUGGCGGCGUGCUUAACACAUGCAAGUCGAACGGAAAGGCCCUGCUUUUGUGGGGUGCUCGAGUGGCGAACGGGUGAGUAACACGUGAGUAACCUGCCCUUGACUUUGGGAUAACUUCAGGAAACUGGGGCUAAUACCGGAUAGGAGCUCCUGCUGCAUGGUGGGGGUUGGAAAGUUUCGGCGGUUGGGGAUGGACUCGCGGCUUAUCAGCUUGUUGGUGGGGUAGUGGCUUACCAAGGCUUUGACGGGUAGCCGGCCUGAGAGAGUGACCGGCCACAUUGGGACUGAGAUACGGCCCAGACUCCUACGGGAGGCAGCAGUAGGGAAUAUUGCACAAUGGGCGGAAGCCUGAUGCAGCAACGCAGCGUGCGGGAUAACGGCCUUCGGGUUGUAAACCGCUUUCGCCUGUGACGAAGCGUGAGUGACGGUAAUGGGUAAAGAAGCACCGGCUAACUACGUG